rnacentral:rRNA from 1 species
GAUGAACGCUGGCGGCGUGCCUAAUACAUGCAAGUAGAACGCUGAAGCUUGGUGCUUGCACCGAGCGGAUGAGUUGCGAACGGGUGAGUAACGCGUAGGUAACCUGCCUCUUAGCGGGGGAUAACUAUUGGAAACGAUAGCUAAUACCGCAUAAAAGUCGAUAUCGCAUGAUAUUGAUUUGAAAGGUGCAAAUGCAUCACUAAGAGAUGGACCUGCGUUGUAUUAGCUAGUUGGUGAGGUAACGGCUCACCAAGGCGACGAUACAUAGCCGACCUGAGAGGGUGAUCGGCCACACUGGGACUGAGACACGGCCCAGACUCCUACGGGAGGCAGCAGUAGGGAAUCUUCGGCAAUGGGGGCAACCCUGACCGGGCAACGCCGCGUGAGUGAAGAAGGUUUUCGGAUCGUAAAGCUCUGUUGUAAGAGAAGAACGAGUGUGAGAGUGGAAAGUUCACACUGUGACGGUAACUUACCAGAAAGGGACGGCUAACUACGUG